UACGUAGGGCGCGAGCGUUGUCCGGAAUUAUUGGGCGUAAAAGAGCUUGUAGGCGGUCUGUCGCGUCUGCUGUGAAAAUCCGGGGCUCAACCCCGGACUGCAGUGGGUACGGGCAGACUAGAGUGUGGUAGGGGAGACUGGAAUUCCUGGUGUAGCGGUGAAAUGCGUAGAUAUCUGCAGGAACACCCCGUGGCGAAAGCGGCGCGCUGGACCACUACUGACGCU
rnacentral:rRNA from 1 species